rnacentral:lncRNA from 1 species
AGUGAAGCAGCUAUCACAGGGUCUGGAACAUAGUACAUCCCAGCCUUCUUGCACAUAGAAACACUACACAGCACUUCAGCUGUAUGUUUGGGGGCCAUUUUAAACAGCAAAAUCAUCAACAGGAAGCAGAAAAUUGUAAAAAUUGUGGCACUAAAUAGACCAUGUAAAGGACACAUGUUUGCAAUAAGAAAGCUGAAACAAGAAGGGGGAGUGUCACCUUAUUUGAUCCAGCUAGAAACUCAGGUGCUGGUAUUCCAGCAACACUCAGGCGGCUGCUCCAGGAGGCUGCAGAGGGGUCCUUUUUAGCCGUCAACAAAACUGGCUAUGGUCACGCCCAUUGGGAAACUCAUUGCUGCCUUCAAGGACUCAGAAGCUGUAGGAAUAUUCAGGCACAGACACCAGACCCAGCUUCAUCUCUAACUUGUGGCAAAGGACAGUACAUCCUGGGAUGGGACCCUAUGCUCCCCUAUGCCAUUUAGACAGAGCCUGGGGAGAGUGACUUCCCAGGGUAUCCAUGUUGGAAUCUCUCAUUUGAUUCUUAUUCAAAUUUAGGUUCUGUCAAUAGAAGAUACUAAAGAAAGAAAGCCAGGAGAAGAAAAGGGACUUCUUUCUUCAAGGUCUAAGCUGUUCUAAUAGCAUUAUUCUGGGAAUGGCAUCUUCCACUCCUCCUAGUACAAAGAACCUGCUUCCUCAUACCCCGUCAAGGAACUGCAGCAUCCAGGUGAUGGCCACAGUGGCAGAACCUAGGAAGCCAAGAAGAAACCAGAGAAUGGAGACACAUGGCAGCAAUGGCAAGUCAUCAGACCCAGGAUUUCCCAAAGAACACUGGUCCAGGAAGAUGCUCUGUGAAAAAGUGUUCCCUGGUCGGAGAAAUUUGUGAAACACUUUGCAUAAUACUUAAAAGAAUGUAUGGCACAUCAAAGAUCUUAUAACAGUCUCCGCAGGAAGCAGCUGCAGUCAUUAGCCAUAGGACAGACUAAACACACAAUCUGCAUGGAAGGAGGCCUGGAUCAGCUUGGUCUUUCAGAUCUCUAAUCUCAGGCACAGGAAAGCACCAUCAACAGCACCCUUUGUAUAUAUACAUAAAGGUAACAUAUUUUAUCAUUUAAAGGGAUU